GUGAUCCCACCGCCUCUCCCCCAUGACGUACUUCCUCCAUCAAGGCCUAGACCUCCCCAGAUAGCACCACCAACUAGGGACCUAGUGUUCAAAUUCCCAUACCUGUGGGGGACAUUUCUCAUUCAAACCACUCCAGCUGACCGGACAUCAGGUUCAAGGAAACAGCUUCCCCUCUGACUGUGAUAAGGAACAUCGGUUUAGGAAGACUCCAUCUGCACAGGCGAUCCAGAAAACCAUGCUGCCAACUCGUCUUACUAAGCCAUUGCUCCGCUGGCUGAUGGUUUAUCUGUAGACAAGCCCUGGCUGUCCUGGAACUGGAGUCAUAGACCAGGCUGGUUUUGAACCGACAGAGAACCACCAGUCUCUACUUCCCAAGUGCUGGGAUCAAAGGCUUGUACCAUCAUGCUUGGCUCAAGGCAUUUGCUUGAUUAAUGAUUGAUGUAGGAGAGCCCAGCCCAGUAUAAGGACUGUCACCCUGUACAGAUGGCCCUGGGGUAUAUAAGAAAGCAAAGUGAGCUAGACGCAAGGAGUAAGCAAGUAAGCAGCAUCCUUCUGUGCGUUUUGCUUCAGUUCCUGCCUUCAGGUUCCUGCCCCUGCCUGAGUUCUUGCUCUGACUUCCCUCAGUGAUGGACUAUUACCUGGAAGUGUAAGCUGAAAUAAACCCUUUCCUCUCCGAA